ensembl:lncRNA
CUCUUUCCUAGACAUAGCCACCCCAGUGCCAGGUGGUGGGUAGAGAGAGAAGCACCGCACCCACUGCCCAGCCAGCUGGAGAGAACCAGGGAGCUGCGGCCUUUACCCCCACAGUCACUGUUCUACAUGGGAUAAGCAAACAGUACAAACAGUACACUUCCAUGCAUGCUUUGAGUGGAACAGUCCGGGAUUUCGUAAUGGAUGGAAACGCUCGCACGCUCGAACAGGUCUCGGGGUGAAUGCCGUGCCAUAAAUAUAUGAGCAGCUCAAUGACCCACCAAGGGGGCCCACCCCACAGUCUGGCUACUAACCACUGGUGUAUGGAGGUACCCGACGGGAUGCUGUUAACACUGCAAAAAGUGUCCAUCUUUACAAGCCUUCCUGUGUUAACAUCUUAAAGCUGUUCCAAAUGAGCAGGCAGUGAAAGAUGAGAUUUUACAUCUAAGAUCAGCUAUCAGCAGAGAGGCUUACGGGCAUCGGCGAAUGAACUGAU